UGUUGUUUAAAGACUCCGGCUGUAGAAUAAGAAGGAAGUGAAGGAGGAGGCGUUCUGAAGCUUGAUGUUGAAGGAGAAUCACAUUAAAUUAAACACUUCCUUAUCAUAGGAGCUCAAAAAGGACGAAAGAGUUGCUUGGGCCAGGUGCCCAACUUCCUCUCUCCAUGUGUUGAGUUACCCAGACCAGUGGAACCACAUGAAAAAGACAAGAAAUGGGUCUGCUGUCGGUAUCCUUUCCAGACUGCAUGGACCGCACCGAGUAAGGUGGACACUGGCACCUUUGGCUCUCCAGGAUGUUGUUUACGUAUGUUCCUGGAUACCCAAAGGCUGUCCACCUCCUGUCUUCCCGUUCACCUCGAGGGUCAGAAACACUUUUCUGUUCUGUUGCUCAUCGGUGUUUCCAGCACUGUAAGCGUUUAGUUGCCUUCCACCUGGAAAGGACAGAAGGACCGCUGGUCUUUGGUAAUAAAGG